ACAUCAGUAUAAUGUAAUGAUCUGUCUGAUAAGGAUCAGACUUCCCAGCCUCCCUGAACGCAACCCAAUUUUCCCACUCUGAUUGGUAAUACGCUUCACCUGUUUGAUGCCCUUUAAAUACCUGCCUGUGACAGCUUUUCUCCGCCAGAUCGUCUUGGUUUCACCCUGCACGCAUCCAGCCUUUGUAACCUGUCUGUUUUCCCGGUAUUACCUGCCUGCCUGCCUGCCUGCCUGCCUGCCUGCCUGCCGUUGACUUGAUUAUUCUGGACCUGGAUUCUAGUCUCUGCCUGCCCCCUGUCUGGUAACGUUUGUUUUUGGAUUUCUUAUUGGAUUCUUGGAUUACUGACCUCUGGAUUGGAUUUUGGAUUUGGAUACUGGAUCACGGACCUUUUGCCCAUCUCACUGAGAAUCCCAGAAGCCCUGCUUCUGUCAUCCGGGUUUCCAAACCAUCUCUAAGUCAUUCCCUCGCUAACCUGUUCUCUAUCCAGCAGUCAACACCCUUCAGUUGAACCCUCCGCUGCAUUCCGUGGUCCUGCUGGUUACGUCCACCCCGACCGCCUACUACAACUGAAGAGCUGACCGUGAGGGACCAGAUCUAUCACCUUUGCACAUUUACAUUGUACAAUAAACCACCUCUUUACCCAUCUCUGGUAUUCUGAUUAUUCAAGUCCAAUCUCCUGAUCCAUG